rnacentral:rRNA from 1 species
GUAGGGAAUAUUGGGCAAUGGGCGAGAGCCUGACCCAGCCAUGCCGCGUGCAGGAAGAAGGCGUUAUGCGUUGUAAACUGCUUUUGACUGGGAACAAAGAGUCCAUGCGUGGAUAAAUGAGUGUACCAGUAGAAUAAGCACCGGCUAACUCCGUGCCAGCAGCCGCGGUAAUACGGAGGGUGCAAGCGUUGUCCGGAUUUAUUGGGUUUAAAGGGUGCGUAGGCGGUUAUCUAAGUCCGUGGUGAAAGGCAGCAGCUUAACUGUUCGCAUUGCCAUUGAUACUGGAUGACUUGAGUACAGACGAGGUAGGCGGAAUUUAUGGUGUAGCGGUGAAAUGCAUAGAUACCAUAAAGAACACCGAUUGCGAAGGCAGCUUACUAGGCUGUAACUGACGCUGAGGCACGAAAGCGUGGGGAUCGAACAGG